rnacentral:rRNA from 1 species
CGGACGGGUGAGUAACGCGUGGGUAACCGACCCUGUACACACAGAUAACAUACCGAAAGGUAUGCUAAUACGGGAUAAUAUAUUUGAGAGGCAUCUCUUGAAUAUCAAAGGUGAGCCAGUACAGGAUGGACCCGCGUCUGAUUAGCUAGUUGGUAAGGUAACGGCUUACCAAGGCGACGAUCAGUAGCCGACCUGAGAGGGUGAUCGGCCACAUUGGAACUGAGACACGGUCCAA